rnacentral:rRNA from 1 species
GACGAACGCUGGCGGCGUGCUUAACACAUGCAAGUCGAACGGAAAGGCCCUGCUUUUGUGGGGUGCUCGAGUGGCGAACGGGUGAGUAACACGUGAGUAACCUGCCCUUGACUUUGGGAUAACUUCAGGAAACUGGGGCUAAUACCGGAUAGGAGCUCCUGCUGCGUGGUGGGGGUUGGAAAGUUUCGGCGGUUGGGGAUGGACUCGCGGCUUAUCAGCUUGUUGGUGGGGUAGUGGCUUACCAAGGCUUUGACGGGUAGCCGGCCUGAGAGGGUGACCGGCCACAUUGGACUGAGAUACGGCCCAGACUCCUACGGGAGGCAGCAGUGGGGAAUAUUGCACAAUGGGCGGAAGCCUGAUGCAGCAACGCCGCGUGCGGGAUGACGGCCUUCGGGUUGUAAACCGCUUUCGCCUGUGACGAAGCGUGAGUGACGGUAAUGGGUAAAGAAGCACCGGCUAACUACGUG